UACGGAGGAUCCGAGCGUUAUCCGGAUUUAUUGGGUUUAAAGGGUGCGUAGGUGGCCUGUUAAGUCAGGGGUGAAAGACGGUAGCUCAACUAUCGCAGUGCCCCUGAUACUGAUGGGCUUGAAUGAACUAGAGGUAGGCGGAAUGUGACAAGUAGCGGUGAAAUGCAUAGAUAUGUCACAGAACACCAAUUGCGAAGGCAGCUUACUAUGGUUUUAUUGACACUGAGGCACGAAAGCGUGGGGAUCAAACAGG
rnacentral:rRNA from 1 species